GGUGGCGAGUGGCGAACGGGUGAGUAAUGUAUCGGAACGUACCUUCAGUGGGGAUAACGUAGCGAAAGUUACGCUAAUACCGCAUAUUCUGUGAGCAGGAAAGCAGGGGAUCGCAAGACCUUGCGCUGAUUGAGCGGCCGAUAUCAGAUUAGCUAGUUGGUGAGGUAAAGGCUCACCAAGGCGACGAUCUGUAGCGGGUCUGAGAGGAUGAUCCGCCACACUGGAACUGAGACACGGUCCAGACUCCUACGGGAGGCAGCAGUGGGGAAUUUUGGACAAUGGGGCAACCCUGAUCCAGCCAUGCCGCGUGAGUGAAGAAGGCCUUCGGGUUGUAAAGCUCUUUCGGCCGGGAAGAAAUCGCAUGGGCUAAUACCCUGUGCGGAUGACGGUACCGGCAUAAGAAGCACCGGCUAACUACGUA
rnacentral:rRNA from 1 species